UUCUUGCCUAGGCUGGCUUUGAACUGCAAUCCCCAGAUCUCAGCUUCCUGAGUAGCUAGGAAUACGGGCAUGAGCCACUAGAGCCCAGCUAAUUUGGUAUCAGAACAAUUUAGAAGUUAAUAGAUCACACAGUACCUCAUAUAUAAUAGAUGAAUUGGCUAGUGGAAGGAAUUUAAUGUUUAGGCAUUCAAGUUAAAUUCUCCAUUUAAAUUGUAGUUGAGAUAGAUGGAGGAAGAAUGAUCAAAGUGGUGACAUCAAUCAAGAUGCAUUGUACUCAUAAUUGACAUGUUGAACUGAAACAUUUUUGUACAACUACAUGAAUUUUAAGACAGAAAAGAAAUAUGAUAGUAAAUGUUUAAAAACUGUACUAAUACAAAAAUAAGAUUCCAGGAGACAUACUGUAUUAAUAACUAUCAAAUACCUAACUACUGUUAAGCUUCUGAAUGUGAAGGUCUCAGGAAACUAGUUCAUCACACACUACAAAGCCAGAAAAGAAAUUUUUAAAAAGAAGAUGGGGAAGGGGACUGAGAGGGAAAAUUUUUAAAAAGUAAUAAUAAUAAAGUAAUAAAUGUUUAAAAGAAGAUAAACAGAACAGUAAUUUCUGCAUAAACACAAUGCACUUCCACUAAAAACAAAAGGCUAGCAGAAUGCAAUGGGGCCUAUCAUUUGAGCUACUCAGUAAGCUGAGGUAAGAGAAUCACAUAAGCCCCAAAAUUUCAAAUCACUAUAGGCAAGAUAGGAAGAUUUUUCUCAAAGUAUGUUUUCAAAAGGGAAGAGUUACAAAGGGCAAAGUUUACCUAUUGACAAGAUAUACUCUUUUAACAAUCCCACUCUGAUCCCUUAAAAUAAAAAUAUCC